GACGAACGCUGGCGGCGUGCUUAACACAUGCAAGUCGAACGAUGACGCCCGAGCUUGCUCGGUCUGAUUAGUGGCGAACGGGUGAGUAACACGUGAGCAACCUGCCCUUCACUCUGGGAUAACCUCGGGAAAUCGGGGCUAAUACCGGAUAUGAGCUCCUGUCGCAUGGCGGGUGUUGGAAAGUUUUUCGGUGAAGGAUGGGCUCGCGGCCUAUCAGUUUGUUGGUGAGGUAGUGGCUCACCAAGGCGAUGACGGGUAGCCGGCCUGAGAGGGCGACCGGCCACACUGGGACUGAGACACGACCCAGACUCCUACGGGAGGCAGCAGUGGGGAAUAUUGCACAAUGGGCGAAAGCCUGAUGCAGCGACGCCGCGUGAGGGAUGACGGCCUUCGGGUUGUAAACCUCUUUCAGCAGGGAAGAAGCGAAAGUGACGGUACCUGCAGAAGAAGCGCCGGCUAACUACGUG
rnacentral:rRNA from 1 species